rfam:Rhizoclosmatium globosum strain JEL800 BCR33scaffold_89, whole genome shotgun sequence.
GGUUGUAUAGUGUAGUGGUUCAGCACCCAGGUUUCUGAUACCUGUAACCCCAGUUCGAGUCUGGGUACGACCU